GGGGCGGACUUCCAAGAAUUCGGCGCCACAAGCCACUGGGCAAACCCUAGACCCUGGCAAUUUGAACAAUGUUACCAAGCUUCCUUUGCCGAAUAUGUCCGUCUUUGAGCGGCACAACUUGACCUGUACCUUAUCUUCACCAAUGGUCACAUCCCCCAACCGAAUCCCACCAACCCCUGCUUUGUUGGUGCUAAGCAGCUCCCCAAUACGGAAUGCCCAGACAAACGCCCCGGAAAACAACACAACUUCAUAUUUGGAAUAACAUAAUGCCGGUAGAACCUCCACUAGUCCUUGCAGCACCGCGAAUGACACUGGCCUCCUCGUAUCCACCGAUUUCUUACCCCUCCGAAAACCUCUUAUGGCUUGCCUGACCAAGAAAUGUUUCGUUAUAUCCUCC